CCGGUUGAUCCUGCCGGACCUGACUGCUAUCGGAUUGAUACUAAGCCAUGCGAGUCAUUGUAGCAAUACAAGGCAGACGGCUCAGUAACGCGUAGUCAACCUAACCUAUGGACGGGAAUAACCUCGGGAAACUGAGAAUAAUGCCCGAUAGAACACUAUGCCUGGAAUGGUUUGUGUUCCAAAUGAUUUAUCGCCGUAGGAUGGGACUGCGGCCUAUCAGUUUGUUGGUGAGGUAAUGGCCCACCAAGACUAUUACAGGUAUGGGCUCUGAGAGGAGUAGCCCGGAGAUGGGUACUGAGACACGGACCCAGGCCCUAUGGGGCGCAGCAGGCGAGAAAACUUUGCAAUGUGCGAAAGCACGACAAGGUUAAUCCGAGUGGUUUGUGCUAAACAGACCUUUUGUUAGUCCUAGAAACACUAACGAAUAAGGGGUGGGCAAGUUCUGGUGUCAGCCGCCGCGGUAAAACCAGCACCUCAAGUGGUCAGGAUGAUUAUUGGGCCUAAAGCAUCCGUAGCCGGCUCUGUAAGUUUUCGGUUAAAUCUGUAUGCUCAACAUACAGGCUGCCGGGAAUACUGCAGAGCUAGGGAGUGGGAGAGGUAGACGGUACUCGGUAGGAAGGGGUAAAAUCCUUUGAUCUAUUGAUGACCACCUGUGGCGAAGGCGGUCUACCAGAACACGUCCGACGGUGAGGGAUGAAAGCUGGGGGAGCAAACCGGAUUAGAUACCCGGGUAGUCCCAGCUGUAGACUAUGCAAACUCAGUGAUGCAUUGGCUUGUGGCCAAUGCAGUGCUGCAGGGAAGCCGUUAAGUUUGCCGCCUGGGAAGUACGUACGCAAGUAUGAAACUUAAAGGAAUUGGCGGGGGAGCACCACAAGGGGUGAAGCCUGCGGUUCAAUUGGAUUCAACGCCGGGAAUCUCUA
rnacentral:rRNA from 1 species